AGUGGGAGGGGAGCAGAAAAAGCGGGACCCGCGUGCGGCCAAGCGCAGGAUGCUGGAGCUAGAGCUGGAUGAGGAUGAAGAAGAGGAGGAUGAUGGUGACAACUUGCUCAAGUCCAGCUCAGAGUCUGAAUCAUCCUCAUCCUCCAGUUUGACUGGUGGAACACUCCGGGACAGAGGAGCUGUAUCUGAAGAGCCUACACGCAUUUCAUAGUCUUGUGAGCCGAGCAAAAGUGCGGAAGCGAUCCCAGUGAAACUGCAUGUUGUCAGGGUCGUACUCUACACCAAAGCAGGGCUAAUCAAGUCCCAAAUGAAGCUUUUGAUGUUUUCAUCCCCACGGUAGUGUAGAAGACAGUACACAAGGAUGGCACGGCAUAUUGUCUCCACAUCUCUUUCAGUCAUGCGCCGCUUAAAUCGUCCAUGAGACAAAAUAUCUCUCCAACGUCCCCAACUAACAAAACAGGAAAAGCAAGCAACACAAAUAUUUUGGGGGACAUUCAAAUUCAGUGAUAUUUAUUUCCCUGGCUCCCAGAAUUGCCAUCUCCUCCGAAAGUAGAAAAUAAACAGAAGCUCCCUCAUAGGCCACGUGUCUUUUAUGUGAUGCUUCUUGGCCACCUUGUCCAUUAUGAAAGUCAGCAGGGAGCAAGGAGUCAGUCAGCAUGCAGAUUCCCUACUACUCAUAGAAAGUUGCAUUCUUACCCAUAUACCAGGAGAUGUUUUUCUACCCGAAAGCAGUCAGUGCGCCCAUAGGUGUGAUGACGGUCAUGUCUUCGGGAACGUGGCCGUUCAUCAUCUUCACUUUCCAAAUCAGAAAACUCAACCAGGUCAUCAUCUUUCAGAGUGCUGAAGUGUCGAGUCUGUUUCCGAACUCGAGGUGUGUCGAUCACUAAGUUAUUCUACAUAGUAAAAGGACAUAUAACUAUGAUAUGCUCAUAUGAUGUAAUCUUGAGUAAGUUACCAAAGUAUUCAGAUUAUUGGAGAAUGUAAAACAAUCUAUAAGGCUCAGGAAGAAAAAGUGGUAGACAUCUGUGGAUCAUAGCUUUGAACACUUUGUCAUUGAGAACUGGCACUAUUAGAAAGGAUAAGGACAUGUGGCCUUGUUGGAGGAAGUGUGUCACUCGGGAUGAACUUGAUAGUUAAGAGCUUUAAGCUAGGUCAAGUGUCUCUCUUUUCCUGCUGCCUUUGGAUCUUGAGCUACCACCUUUUGCCUGCUUACCACCAUGCUUCUGGCCAUGAUAAUAAUGGACUAGACCUCUGAAACUGUAAGCAAGCAUCAAUUAAAUACUUUUCAUUAU
ensembl:lincRNA Gm26590 uncharacterized LOC110325663